rnacentral:tRNA from 1 species
UUAAGAAAUUAAAUUUAAUUUUACAAUGAAAAUGUAAUGUUUUUUUUAAACCACAUAAACUAGAAAU